rnacentral:misc_RNA from 1 species
GAUGAAGAACGUAGUGAAAUGCGAAAAGUAAUGUGAAUUGCAGAAUUCAGUGAAUCAUCGAAUCUUUGAACGCACAUUGCGCCCGCCAGUAUUCUGGCGGGCAUGCCUGUCUGAGCGUCAUUUCAACCCUCACGCCCCUAGGGCGUGGUGUUGGGGAUCGGCCAAGGCCCGCAAGGGACGGCCGGCCCCUAAAUCUAGUGGCGGACCCAUCGUGGCCUCCCCUGCGAAGUAGUAAUAUAUUACGCAUCGGAUAGCGAUGAGCCCCUGCCGUUAAACCCCCAACUCUUUCAAGGUUGACCUCAGAUCAGGUAGGAAUACCCGCUGAACUUAAGCAUAUCAAUAAGCGGAGGA